rnacentral:rRNA from 1 species
UGGGGAAUUUUGGACAAUGGGCGAAAGCCUGAUCCAGCAAUGCCGCGUGUGUGAAGAAGGCCUUCGGGUUGUAAAGCACUUUUGUCCGGAAAGAAAUGGCUCUGGUUAAUACCUGGGGUCGAUGACAGUACCGGAAGAAUAAGGACCGGCUAACUACGUGCCAGCAGCCGCGGUAAUACGUAGGGUCCAAGCGUUAAUCGGAAUUACUGGGCGUAAAGCGUGCGCAGGCGGUUGUGCAAGACCGAUGUGAAAUCCCCGAGCUUAACUUGGGAAUUGCAUUGGUGACUGCACGGCUAGAGUGUGUCGGAGGGGGGUAGAAUUCCACGUGUGGCAGUGAAAUGCGUAGAGAUGUGGAGGAAUACCGAUGGCGAAGGCAGCCCCCUGGGAUAACACUGACGCUCAUGCACGAAAGCGUGGGGAGCAAACAGG